rnacentral:rRNA from 1 species
AUUGAACGCUGGCGGCAGGCCUAACACAUGCAAGUCGAGCGGAUGAAGGGAGCUUGCUCCUGGAUUCAGCGGCGGACGGGUGAGUAAUGCCUAGGAAUCUGCCUUGUAGUGGGGGAUAACGUCCGUUAACGGGCGCUAAUACCGCAUACGUCCUUAGGUAGAAAGUGGGGGAUCUUCGGACCUCACGCUAUCAGAUGAGCCUAGGUCGGAUUAGCUAGUUGGUGGGGUAAAGGCCUACCAAGGCGACGAUCCGUAACUGGUCUGAGAGGAUGAUCAGUCACACUGGAACUGAGACACGGUCCAGACUCCUACGGGAGGCAGCAGUAGGGAAUAUUGGACAAUGGGCGAAAGCCUGAUCCAGCCAUGCCGCGUGUGUGAAGAAGGUCUUCGGAUUGUAAAGCACUUUAAGUUGGGAGGAAGGGCAGUAAGUUAAUACCUUGCUGUUUUGACGUUACCAACAGAAUAAGCACCGGCUAACUUCGUG